rnacentral:SRP_RNA from 11 species
AGGGGCAGGCGGGGCUCCGUUCUCUCUGUGGAGGGGGGUGAUCAUCCGAGUUCGCACUCACCCAAGGUCCGAAAGGGUGCAAUGGGCUCCAAGGCGACUGGUGUUGAAAGGAA